CCCAAGCUGAUGCCUUGUUCAGAAAAAUGAAAGAAGAUGGGCCUCUUCCAG
rnacentral:sRNA from 1 species